GAUGAAGAACGCAGCGAAUUGCGAUAUGUAAUGUGAAUUGCAGAUUUUCAGUGAAUCAUCGAAUCUUUGAACGCACCUUGCGCUCCUUGGUAUUCCGAGGAGCAUGCCUGUUUGAGUGUCAUGAAAUUCUCAACCUUUUCAGCUUUCUUUGUUGAUCAGGCUUGGAUGUGGGAGUAUGCGGGCUUCUCAGAAGUCGGCUCUCCUGAAAUGCAUUAGCGGGACCUUUGUUGCCUGGCUUUGGUGUGAUAAUUAUCUACGCCAUUGUGGUCAAGCAGCUUAAAAUGAGGUUUCAGCUUCUAACCGUCUCCCCUGAGACAACUUUUUGACAAUUUGACCUCAAAUCAGGUAGGACUACCCGCUGAACUUAAGCAUAUCAAUAAGCGGAGGA
rnacentral:misc_RNA from 1 species